rnacentral:lncRNA from 1 species
UAUCCCUGAAUAUGACCAUGUCCACACAUUUCUAUUUUCAGAUAAUUAGAUGGAUAAAUGAUUGCUUGAAGGAAUAAGCCUAUGUAUUAAAAGAAAAACCAAGAACCCAUUUAAUUACAGAAAAGGAGAAGAAAAUGGUGUUUCAACAUUUGGCCUUCAAAUUUUUCUGAUUUAAUGCUACUGGGUAAAAUCUAUUGCUAUGAUGCAAGGCUGUCUCACCUUCCCCUUCAUCCUAGGUUACACAAUUACUCGAGAAAAGUUACCAAUUAUAUACACAAAAUAGCAAAAAAAUAUUUUUGUCUUCAUUUAUGUGUCUUUGGUUAUAUGCUGUCAAUGCAGUAUGCUUUUAUAAUGAGACAUAGUUAUCCAGUGAUUUUUUUUGCAAGAUGAAAAUGAGUAAAUUAUGUUUUAAGAAAAGCUUUAAAAAGAGCAAACACUAGACUAUGAUUGUCCCUGACUAUUUGUGAGAAAGCGUCCUGAGAAUUUUCUUGGGGAAUCAGCUUCAUGCCUCGCCCAAGAAUUGUCUUCUUUGUUAGCAUUCACAAAGUAUAAGAAAUUUCCCAGAUACACAGUAGGCAGACAGCCUUGUAUGUCAGACCCCAUGCUGGAUCUGUCGAUGCCUGUUUCCAAGAUGAGGUCUUUCCCAGUGCACCCGAGGUGAAGCAAGCCAAGCCAGGUGACACCUGGGAGUUGAUGAGAUUUGGAAGAAAAGCACAUUCAACACAUGACCUUGUUAAUAUCAUUAAUGCCCAUUGUCAGUUGGCCAGCUUGGUGAUGGAGGAGAGGCCUGGCAAGUCCCAGGGUCCUGGAGUAGCUCUUGGGUUACUGCCCAUGGAUAAUUGCUUUUCUUUCCCUUCCUAGUUCAUUUGGCUUGGUUCCUAGGGCACUAGAUAUUCAUGCUGGUGUUUUCCCAUGGAAACCUUAGCAGAGUUAAAACAUGAUACAGGAUUUGCUGGGCAGAAGGAAGAAGAAUGAUUUUAAUUUUUGAGAGCAAAUAUACUUCUUGAUAAACAGAACAAAGGUUUGAGUAGUGUGCAUUUCAGUAUCACUGAGAAGAGAUUUCAAGUGUUCUCAUCACACACAAAAAAAUAGAUACCAGGGUAACAGAUCAAAUAUCAUUUUAUAGUCCAUGAAUAUGUAUAACGACAAUUUGUCAAUAUAUAAACUAAUAAAAAUUCAAAUUUAAAUCCAACAAAAAGUGACAUUGGGUAAGACAGUUUUUACAAAAUGAAUUCUGUGUUUGCUUCAGCAGCACAUAGACUAAAAAUGAAAUCUUUCAGGGAAGGUUAGCAUUGCUUGGAUAGAAGGAUGACAUGCAAAUUUUUGUAGUACCCCAUAUUAAUUAAAUUGGGGGCAAGCCCAGAGCUCAGAGGGCUUUAGCCCCUACUUAGCAUGUAUAAGGCAUUAGGUUCAAUUCUAUAUCACAGAAAACAUAUUAUUCAGAAUAUAUACAAUAGAAACCUUUCCUGAGAUGUAAAACAGUUGGCGCUUAAGCCUUCAAAGCAGUGGCACCACUACACCCUUCCCUGGGAGGGACUUUUGGAGGGGCCUUAUGUAUCAUCAGCUAAAGGAGGAUUUAGAUUGAUUGAUUGAUUGAUUGAUUGAUUGAUUUAUGUUUUUCGAGACAUGGUUUCUCUGUGUAGCCCUGGCUGUCCUGGAACUCACUUUGUAGACCAGGCUGGCCUUGAAUUCAGAAAUCUGCCUGCCUGUGCCUCCCAAGUGCUGAAAUUAAAGGAGUGUGCCACCACGCCCAGCUAACUUUACUUUCUUUCUCUCUUAGAAUUAGAUGAACUCAUUCAGGGUAUUUCAAAUAUAAUGUGCUGCAUAAAUUCUGCAUUUGAGUACAUUUGAGAUUUUUAUCUUAAGGGUUUCAGAGUUUUAACUUUGGGUAUUUCAUGAGAAUAAACAAGUAAUAUUUCAAUACUCAUGGCUUGCUAUUUAGGAUUUUUACAGGUUGUUGUUGAUCUAUUGAGAUAUUCAUUAGUUUUUCCCAUGUGAAAGCAAGAUUGGAGGCAGGGUGAAUUACAGCUGCUUGACCUCUGACGUCUGAGCUGUGAGUGUCUCCUUGGGAUGACUGAUAGUGAAUAAGUAAGCAAUAAAGAAACCUCACAGUGUUAGGUAGGCAUAAGAACCUUAGAGAAAUCACUGGAAGCAGUACUAGAGAGGAAAGAUGGCCGGUCUCUAGUUAGGUUGAAGACAAGAUGAGGCAUCUCUAAGGGGAGCUACAAGUAUUGUAUUAGGGGUAUGUGUGUGGAAUACUGAGCACCAGAGCACUGGAAGGAGCAACAAGAAAAUUUCCAGGAACCAAAAUGGCUGCAGUCAGUGUGAGAAGAUAGAAAAAACUGUAAAUUCCAACAGUUCUAAGAGAAGCAUUAUUCUUUUUUUUUUUUUCCUUUUUCCAAUUUCUUAUUAGGUAUUUUCUUCACUUACAUUUCAAAUGCUAUCCCAAAAGUCCUCUAUACCCUCCCCCCUCCCUGCUCCCCUACCCACCCACUCCCACUUCUUGGCUCUGGUGUUCCCCUGUACUGGGGCGUAUAAAGUUGCAUUAUUCUUAUGUAAGGUACUUUACUUUUUUUGUUUUGUUUUUUUUAAGAUCCUUUAGCUGCCAUAUACAUGAAUUGAAAGGGACUGUGGACCAAGAAUGUAGAUCUGGAAGCUAGCAGCAUGGACUGACACUGUAGUGAAGAAUGGCUUACAGAUUUGUAAGAGGCUCUGAGAAUGAGUCAACAGGACUUGCUGCAAAUACACCAAACCCAUUCUGAGAGAAAGAAGACAAUCAAAGACAGGAAGUCCUUACUUUAAUGUUUGAAAUUAUGGAUAUAAUGAAUAGCAAAACAGUGAAAUCAGAGGAAUUAUCUUUACCUAGUUAACAAACAAUUGACAUAUGGUACAGCUAAACUAAUGAUCAUCCACGGUCAAUUACAGGACAGUGUCUAAUAGAUGUGCAAGAAAUAAUGUAAGAAGACUUUAUUUUAGAAAUUUCCUCAUCAAAUAUGAGGACAUUGGAUGAGUCAGAAGUUUUUCUCUUUGCUUGCUUUCUAGUUGCCUUGCCGUUCAUCUUGCAAAACUCCCCAUGCCCUGAAAAACAGUGUAUCUCUACAUACUAAGAUGUACAUGUAGAUGUAAAUGCACAUGUACACGAUGUAUAUGUGUAGAUACAUACAUACACAAAAUUCAUUUGAAAAAUCUUUUAAAGCACUAGAUAUCUUGCCUUAACAGCUUUGUAUUAUGGGAAAUUUUAGGUACUUAUCUUUCAAGCUGGAAACCAAGGUCACUCUGGCUGUUUUCUCAUCUAUAACCUGGAAAUUAAUGGUAGCAUCUUGCAUAGAUGAGUAUCUUGAAAUUUAAAUGAGAGUAAUUAUAGUAUCCUAUGUAAAUGUUUGCCACAUAUUAUGAUUGCAAUAUGCUUGGAAAUUGUUUUUAUUAAUCUACCCAGGCUUUUAAGAAAGUGUGGUCCUUAGAGGUUUUCAUCAGUGAAAUGAAAGUAGUUUCUACCACCUAAUUUAGUGAAAAGUCGGCUUGCCUGUGGAAUCCCAUGUCCUUUUGAGGACUCUGUCAUUAUAAAACAUAAUGUUAGGCUUUGAAGUGAAUUACAGCCAAUCCAUAGCACGUGACCUAGUACAUCACACCAUAUCAAAUGUUCAGACGCCUGGGAAUACACACCCUUUGUGGCAGUGUCUCUCCCCAGCCCCCAUCCCAACUUUGCAUGUACUUUUGUAUUCAAAGAACUGCCUAACUACAUUUACUUAGUAAGCAAGAGGCACCGAUUUUUCUUACCUACUUAUACUGUGCUAACAAUUUGAAAGGAUUUGAGCUGGGUUACAGAAAGGGAUUAGAACGUAUAAAUCAUCUUUUAAAAAGUUAGAAAAUUAAGGGCAAUAAAGGCAAAGAAAACCUAUAUAAAAAUCUUACAAAGAUUUUGUUUUUGAUAACUAAGAAUUUUUCAUGCACUUAAUUCAGAAUAUUUUACAGUCUUCCACUUAAUAAUCAUAAAACAUUUCCCAGGGAAGUAAUAAGAAUGUGAUAUCCCAGCAUAUAUAUUAUAAUGUACUGGUCCAAGGUUAUCUUUUCCCCCAAACACACACAGUGGUUGAAUUUUCAAAAUUUACCACAUUUUCCUGUCAUUUUCAAGUUAUUUCAUGAUUUAACUCAAUAAGCGAGAAUAGAUUUAAUAGUAAAAUAUAUUUAUUGAUCAAUCUCUGUUAUGACACAUACAAAGCAAAAAUGAGGCAAAGAUCUGCUAAUGUGCAUAAAAUAUACUCACCUGUAGUUAAGACCCAGAAAUAAUUUUUCAAUAUUUUUCAAUUGAUAUUAUGUGUUAGUCACUUUUAUAUCUUCACAGUUUUUGGCAAUUAUAUGAAAUUGCUGUCUACUAUUUGAUCAUGUCAUUAUGUUCAAUAAUCAUGAUAAAUGUCUAGUUUCCCAUCUUUUGAUUUCAUUAAAUUCUCAUAAAUGCCAUGGCUAAUUGUAACAAAGAACACCAUCAACAAUGCUGUUUCUCAGUUCAUGCUGCUGGCACUAAUGCAAUGUAUGCCAGUGUUGCUCAUCUCUUAAGCUUCAGUUCCCAUUUCCUCCUUUAGUGACUGUAAAGAGAGGAAUAUUUAUAUGUGCUGAUAAGUAACUUUAAAUUUUACAUUUGGACAUUCAAGAAAGAAAUGCUUACUCUUUCUCAUCCUUUAUUUUAUUAUAUAAUUAUUCUCACUCAUGUAUAUUCAAAUCCUUAAAGAUACCUAUUAGAAACACUUACCAGCUCACUGACAAAUGGUUUCAUUGCUAUGCUAAAGGCCAAUGGCUUUGUGUGGAGAGGUGUUAAGUAUGUGCUUUUCUAGAAAUAUGUAAUAUUAUAUAAUAUUUUCAGUCUUUUGUUAAGAAACCUCAGAACCUUCUGAAGAGUCGAGUGCAUACCCCAUCCUGCAUAUGCUGCUCCAUAAGGGCCUCAAGAGGUGGAUAUUCAGAGUUAGUGAAUAAUUUAAAGGACAAACUGUGCUCUCUAACAGUUAUUUUAAGAAAUACAAGCAAAUAAACCAAGGGCUUGCAGAUUGAGCAGUGUCUCCUAACUCCUUCCCAAGUUCUCUCCUCACUCCUUCUGAUCUCACAUCAUUUUGUAGUCAAGGAACACACAAAUUCUAGGAGUGAAGACUUAUGAGAGCAAAAACAUAU